rnacentral:lncRNA from 1 species
AAUCUAGGAGGCACAUAGAACUCCCAUCAAUAUAAAAAAAGCAGGCCACCUUCAAGACAUAUUGCAAUUAAAUUUGCAAAAUAUAGCAAUAAAGAAAAAAAUCCUAAAAAUAGUAAAAAAGAAAAAAAGAAGUCUCUAACUUACAAGGGAAGACUCAUAAGGCUAGCUGCAGAUGUCUCAACAGAAAUGUAGCAAACCAGAAGAGAGUGGCAUGAUAUAUCAAAGGUACUGAAUGGGAAAAAUCUGCAGCCAAGAAUACUCUAUCCAGCAAGGCUAUUGUUCAGAAUACAAGGAGAGAUAAAAAGUUUCCCAGACCAAUAAAAGCUAAAUGAAUUCACGACCACUAAACUGGUCCUGCAAUAAAUAUUAAAGGGACUCUUUGAGUGGAAAAGAAGGGAAAAAAGUGACAAAGACAAGAAAGGAACAGAGAAAAUCUCCAGAAACGAUGACAAAAUAAGUAAUAAAAUGGCACAAUUCAUACCUAUCAAUAACUACUCUUAAAGUAAAUGGACAUUCCAAUCAAAAGACACAGGGUAUGAGAAGGCAUAAAAACAAAAACAAGACCCAUCUAUAUACACUGCCUACACGAGAUUCCUUUCAAACCUGAAGACACCUGUAGAUUGAAAGUGAGGAGAUGGAGAAACAUUUAUCAUGCAAAUGAACAUCAAAAGAAAGCUGGAGUAACAGUAUUUAUACCAGCUUUUAAAGCAAAGACUACAACAAAGGAUGAAGAAGGGCACAAUAUCAUAAUAAAUGGGACUAUCCAGGGGGAGGAGAUGACAGAAAAGUAGUGGGAUCUGGGACUUUCUUCAUCCUUUGAAUACAGCUGUAUGAAGUUAGAUCACUUGGAACACCCAGAAAUCGAUGUAAGGAUUAGAAGACGUAUCUCCAUGGUUGGAGGGAGACAGUAAUACAGAUGCAAGAUGCAUGGAAGUGAAUGGGGAAGAGAUCAGCCCAGGGGGCUCAGCGGUUUAGCUCCACCUUCAGCCCAGGGUGUGAUCCUGGAGACCCAAGAUCCAGUCCCACAUCAGGCUCCCUGCAUGGAGCCUGCUUCUCCCUCUGCCUGUGUCUCUUCCUCUCUCUCUCUCUCUCUCUCUCUAUCUCUCUCUCUCAUGAAUAAAUAAAUAAAAUCUUAAAAAAAAAGAAUUGGGGAAGAGAAAAGCUGCCAUGCUCCAAAGGGAAGGGAGCCUUUUUCACAGGGAGAGAAAGAAAGAGGGGUUUAGAGAAUGUGGCAUUGGGUCUACACAAGAAGAAAAUCUCUCCAGACCAGAGACUGGGGAGCAAGAGGAACUGAGAAUGGGAGGUUAUUUUCAGUUUGUGGAGAUAAAACUCUGAGGUUUGGGAAGUGCGUGAGUUUUGUCAAAGUGGAACUAUGGUGCAUGCUCCUGGGGAGGAGGACACUGGCUGGAGAGUGCACAGCACAAAGUGGUGCAGGGAUUUCCUGGUCACAUUGGGAAAGAACAUCCCACCUUCCUGGAGUACCUUUGGAAGAGGGUAUAUAUCUUCUCUAAGGACAAAAGAUUGUGCAGGCGCCAGCAAAUAACCUUCCAUCAGCAGGGGACAGAGGUGUUCACAGAGGGUGGAUAACCUGGUCACCGUUUUUCCAGGUUCUAUACCAUAGAUUCAAAGCACCACACAAAUGUGGGACUGUCUUUUUCUGGAAAAGGACACUGGACACAGCACAGCAGAUAGGCUCUACUCCAGAAGAGGGAAUGGAUCCAUAUAGUGCAGGGUCUUUUAAGAUUAGUAAUCUGGAGGGGGGGCAAGAUGGUGCAGGAGUAGGGUCCCCAAGUCACCUGUCCCCAUCAACUUACCUAGAUAACUUUCAAAUCAUCCUGAAAACCUACGAAUUCGACAUGAGAUUUAAAGAGAGAACAGCUGGAACGUUACAGAGAGGAGUUUGUGCUUCUAACAAGGUAAGAAGACAGAAAAAAAAAAGAAUCAAGUGGGGGAGGGGCCCCCACUAGGAGCAGGGCUAAGGCCGGGCAGCGAGAGCUUCCAGGAAAGGAAAGCCAAGUUCUUGAAAAGCAGGAACUUUAAAAAUCUGCACCAGAUUCUUCCUGGAUGGAAAGGUGCUUAGCAGGGAACUCAGGCAGAACCACAAGAGGGGCAGUGGAGCCUCCAGUCUCAUGGAGUCACUAACACAGGAAGUGCACCUGGGGGACAGCUUGCCACACACCGCAGUCGGAGCUCGGGAGAGGGCUGAAGGGCACACCCUGUGGAGCCUCGGGGAGAAGCUCAGGCGGCAGAUCCUGGCGGAGGGGGCUCUGCCCAGCUGCCUUCAGGAGCCCGGUCCCAGGAGCAGGAUUCCAGCAGCGUAUGCCCUGGAUUCCAGGGCGCGGGGGAACGAGUUCCCCAGGAAGAGGCAGAGACAAGAAGGGCACAGGACAGCAAGGACGCUCCUGCCACCAGGUGCCCCCAAGCUGUGCAGUUCAGCACCCCCGCUGACUGAGCAUCCAGGCCAGCGCGAACUGGAAGCUUCGGUAGUUACUGCGGGAGCUGACUCCAGAGCUGGAGAGCUGGCUGCCGCCAGUAGUGUUGUCCCUUGUGGUGUCUCCUGUGCCUGGGAUGGAGCGGGGCCACAAGGGAACAGGGGCCUCACAGGAAAAACAGCUCCCACUGAGCCCUGCAACUUGCAGGGUGUGUGGCAGCACCUCAAGGUGCACACACCUGAGAAUAAGCACAGCAGGCCCCUCAACCAGAAGACCAGCUGGAAGGAUAGGGGAAGAGCAUGUUCUUGACCGAGCAGCACAGGAAAGCUCCAGGGAAAGUCGAGGGAUUUACAGUAUAUAGAACCAGAGGAUACUCGUUUUUGCUGUUGUUGUUGUUGUUGUUGUUUCUUUUUUCUUUAUUUCCUUUUUUCUUUCUUCCUUUUUCAAGUACAACUCAUUUUUAGCCACUAUGUACUGAGCAAAAUGACUAGAAACAAGAACUCACCACAAAAGAAAGAAUCAGGAACAGUACUCUGCCACAGAGUUACAGAAUUUGGAUUACAAUUCAAUGUCAGAAAACCAAUUCAGGAACAUGAUUAUAAAGCUCCUGGUGGCUCUGGAAAAAAAAGCAUAAAGGAUAUAAGAGACUUCAUGACUGCAGAAUUUAGAUCUAAUCAGGCCGAAAUUAAAAAUCAAUUAAAAUAGAUGCAAUUCAAAUUGGAGGUCCUAAUGAUGGUGGUUAAAAAGGGAGAAGAAAGAAUGAGUGACAUACAAGACAAGUUGAUGGCAAGGAAGGAAGCUGAGGAAAAAAGAGAAAAAAACAUUAAAAGACCAUGAGCAAAGGACAAGGGAAAUAAAUGACAACCUCAGAAGGAAAAAUCUUUGUUUAAUUGGGGUUCCAAAGGGCGCUGAAAGGGACAAAGGACCAGAAGGCAUAUUUGAAAAAAUCAUAGCUGAGAACAUCCCUAAUUUGGGGAGGGAAACAGGCAUUCAGAUCCAGGAGAUAGAUCCCCUGUAAAAACAAUAAAAACUGUUCAACACCUCAACAUUUAAUAGUGAAACUUGCAAAUUCCAAAGAUAAAGAGAAGAUACUUAAACAGCAAGAGACAAGAGACCCCUAAUUAUAUGGGGAGAAAUAUUGGAUUAAUGGCAGACCUCUCCACAGAGCUCUGGCAGGCCAAAAAGGGCUGACAGGAAAAAUUCAGGGUCCUAAAUGAGAAGAACAUGCAGCCAAGAAGACUCUAUCAAGCAAGGCUCACAUUUAGAAUAGAAAAGAGAUAAAGAGCUCCCAAGAUAGGCAGAAACUGAAAGAAUAUGUGACCACCAAACCAGCUCUGCAAGAAAUAUUGAAGGAGGCCCUCUAAAGAAAGAGGAAGCCCAAAGAUAAACCAUAAAAACAGAGAAUGAAUAAAUAUUAUGAUGACACUAAAUUAAUAUCUAUCAAUAGUAACUCUAAACAUGAAUGGGCU